GUGUCAGCAGCCGCGGUAAUACAGAGGGUGCGAGCGUUAAUCGGAAUUACUGGGCGUAAAGGGUGCGUAGGUGGUUAUGUAAGUUAGAUGUGAAAUUCCUGGGCUUAACCUGGGGACUGCGUCUGAUACUGCAAAGCUAGAGUACUGUAGAGGGAAGUGGAAUUUCCGGUGUAGCAGUGAAAUGCGUAGAUAUCGGAAGGAACAUCAGUGGCGAAGGCGACUUCCUGGACAGAUACUGACACUGAGGCACGAAAGCGUGGGGAGCAAACAGGAUUAGAAACCCUGGUAGUCC
rnacentral:rRNA from 1 species